UCAAACGAGAGUUUGAUCCUGGCUCAGAAUCAACGCUGGCGGCGUGCCUAACACAUGCAAGUCGCACGAGAAAGUGGAGCAAUCCAUGAGUACAGUGGCGUACGGGUGAGUAACACGUGACUAACCUGCCCUCGAGUGGGGAAUAACUUCGGGAAACCGAGGCUAAUACCGCAUAACAUCUUCCGGGUGAGAUACCGGUUGAUCAAAGCAGCAAUGGGCUUGAGGAGGGGGUCGCGGCUG
rnacentral:rRNA from 1 species